CAGUAGCCGCGGUAAUACAGAGGGUGCGAGCGUUAAUCGGAUUUACUGGGCGUAAAGCGUGCGUAGGCGGCUUCUUAAGUCGGAUGUGAAAUCCCUGAGCUUAACUUAGGAAUUGCAUUCGAUACUGGGAAGCUAGAGUAUGGGAGAGGAUGGUAGAAUUCCAGGUGUAGCGGUGAAAUGCGUAGAGAUCUGGAGGAAUACCGAUGGCGAAGGCAGCCAUCUGGCCUAAUACUGACGCUGAGGUACGAAAGCAUGAGGAGCAAACAGGAUUAGAGACCCCCGUAGUCCCUGUCUCUUAUAC
rnacentral:rRNA from 1 species